CAUGCAAUACCCAGUGCCUUAACGAUGAAAGUAUAUCACAACAAUUUCUUAUUCCGGAUACUGUCAUUGCAAAGAUUUAUACGAAGGAAGAUGCUGUGAAGAACGUAAACCAACUAAAGAGGAACCAAAUGGUUUGAAUGGCUGUCAUGAUAUAUGCAGUUGGUCACCAUGGGGACUAUGGACUGAAUGUAGCGUUUCCUGUGGCGGUGGUGGAUUGCAACAAAGAGAAAGACGUUUGUGUUGUUUACUGGAAUAUGGAAGAUUUGAAAGUUGUGCAUCACAAUGUCACAUAGAGAACGCUAAUUGUCUUCAGGAGCAAGUAUGUGGAAAAGAGUGUUUAAAUAGUGGAACAUUAAAUAAUGAUGGUUUUGGAUGCCAAUGCCUUAAUAGGACCUUUGGUCAUUGCUGUGAGGAAAUAUUACCAGGAUGUACACCUUUUCCUACGGAUGUCAUAUUUGUACUUGAUUCUGCUGUCAGUCAAACAGAAAACAAUUUCAUGCACAGUUGGAAUUUGUGAUUAAGUUCGUCGAGAAAGUAAAAAUUAGUACGGAGGAAUUUCAGAUUGCUGUUAUAACAUACUCUACUGAAGCAAAAAUAGAAAUCACCUUCAACCAGUCAGUUGACAAACAUGUCUUGCAAAGCUUGAUCCAGAAUAUCAGGUUUCGGCCUGGUGUCAUAUUUACCAAUAAAGGGUUAAAAUUUUCUAUGGAGGUAGCAAGAAAAAGCGAAAGUCGUAAAGGAAUAGUGACAUUAACGUAUGCAUUUGUUCUAACAGAUGGCAUGUCUAACAAUCGAAAGGAAACAAGAAUAGCUGCGAGAGAAUUGAGAAAUGCUGAGGUUCACGUUGUGGUUAUAGGUAUACAAAUUUA